CUGCAGCGUCAGAUACUGUUUAGUUCUCUGAGCUCUUGACAGGAAGUUCUAUCCCUGUCUCACGGAAGACAGCCGCCAGUUUGUUACUCUCUAUGUUCGCAUCAGGACUGCCCAUGACCUGGGUGUCUGUGAACAUCUUGACGCCCAGGAAGAGGUGACUGGGGAUCAGCUGGGAAGGACACUGGAAUGUGGGUCAGCAGCUCUUCCUGGGUCUCAGUGCCUGAGCCAUCCCAGGGGGCGCCUGGGUGGUUCAGUCAGUUGAGGGUCCGACUUCGGCUCAGGUCAUGAUCUCAC